rnacentral:rRNA from 1 species
UACAGAGGUCUCGAGCGUUGUUCGGAUUCAUUGGGCGUAAAGGGUGCGUAGGUGGCUUGGUAAGUCGGAUGUGAAAUCCCGGGGCUCAACCCCGGAACUGCAUUCGAUACUGCCAGGCUAGAGUACUGGAGAGGAGAUUGGAAUUUACGGUGUAGCAGUGAAAUGCGUAGAUAUCGUAAGGAAGACCAGUGGCGAAGGCGGGUCUCUGGACAGUUCCUGACGCUGAGGCACGAAGGCCAGGGGAGCAAACGGG